rnacentral:rRNA from 1 species
UACGAAGGGGGCUAGCGUUGUUCGGAAUCACUGGGCGUAAAGCGCACGUAGGCGGAUCGUUAAGUCGGGGGUGAAAUCCUGGAGCUCAACUCCAGAACUGCCUUCGAUACUGUAGAGCUUGAGUUCGGGAGAGGUGAGUGGAACUGCGAGUGUAGAGGUGAAAUUCGUAGAUAUUCGCAAGAACACCAGUGGCGAAGGCGGCUCACUGGCCCGAUACUGAUGCUGAGGUGCGAAAGCGUGGGGAGCAAACAGG